GUUGAUUUCCAUCUGUAAUUUCUUUCCGAUUCUUGCAUCCAAUUCCAGAUUGUAUCAAGCAAUGUUCAUCGCUAAACUAGAAUAGGUAUGUUUCCGGUUUAGCUCGCUUCCGCAUAUAGAUAUCUAACAGUUCUAUUAUACCAGUAGUGACCAUGAGCGUCGUCUUUUCGAGAUCUAAUGAAUGUUUCUUGGUACUUCAACCUUCCUCAAUAUAUAUCUAGUGUUGUAACAAUGUCAUUAGAUCUCAAGAUAUAUUUGCAUACAUUAUCUUACUUCCUUAUUGUUUUGCAAAUUUUCAGUUGUUCUACCACUCAUCAUCACGAUGAUUGAUUCAAUUGUUGUUUCCGUAAUAUCGUAUCUUACAAAACCACUAUUUCAUUGUUGUUUUGAUACGAUUAUAGCAGGGUUUGGUGGAUUCUCGAGAAUUAUCUUGAUGAGUCUACAAAAUAUUGAAAAUAGCUUUUGAAAGUAGAAGAAAAAUCUUUGUAUAUUUUCCUUUAUUCACAAAUGCAAAACUAUACAAUGUAUACGGUGGUUAACCUAUAAAGAGUGAAUGCAAAAGAAAAAGAACUCCGAAAAAAAAAUGUAAUUUCGUUUAAGAACUGGAGAAUUGUCAACAUCUCUAGUAAUUUGCCUAUUACGCCCGAGAUGGAAACGUUAAGAGACAAGACAUUGUAGCUUGAAAAUCAAGUAAUGAGUAAAGGUAUGUUCACUUCACAUAAAGUAAAACAGAAUUGUCCAUAUUUCUAUUGAAAAAAUAUGUGACGUAAGCCCCACGACAUGGCUGGUUCUUUGAUCUAACCGUAUAUUUUGUGAUUAGAAAGUUUCAAACAUUUUUUGGCACAUAUUGUCGUAGGUAUGCAGUAGUUUCUUAGUUUCUUGCCACUGCCUCUUGAUUUUAAUCAAGAUGCAGAAGAAGAGUCUAGUAGAUUGUUGCGGUUAGACAUGACAAACCCAAAAAAAAAAAGAACCAAACAUUAUUUUAGUAUCUAACUACUUCAAUAAAAUCAUGAAAAUCAAUCGUAGGUAUUACAAGUUUGGUCCUCUUAACAGAAUAAAAUCUAAAACUUCAAACAACUUAAUCUCCAGCUCUUAACUCCUUGUACGCAAAACCAGCCUUCUCAAGAAGAAAAGCUAUUACAUUGGUUCUUGUACUAAUCCGUACUAACCUUCUUAUCAACACUUGACUUACUGAGGAUUACAACUCCAAUGGUGAUCGAUAAAGCCCCCGCAAACCACUGCAUUAUUUAUCGGAAAAUGUAUAAGCCAAACUCAUCUUACAACUCCAAAACUACCAUUUCCACAUAACAAUUGGUGUCCUAAAUACACGUUAUGUAAUCUGCAAUAGUAAUAGGCUUUGACAUCCAAGAAAAGCAUAACAUAAGAAACAUUGUUUUCAAGAUUUAAAAAAAAAACUUACACGGAAUGAUAAGGACUCGUGAAACAGAAAGAGGCCAGCAAAACCAGAAGAGAGAAAAUUAGCAGCAAAGUUAGUGACUGUAGCUUGUAGAGAAGAGAGAGCUCUUAAGCUGUUUACAUAACAUCCCCACAUUACCACAUUGCAUAAUACAACCAAUCCAUACUUUAUCACCUGUUAAACAUUAAAAAAUUUCCAAAAUUAAAUUAAUCAAAAUCCUCUAAGGAAAAAAAAAACAAAUGAAUCCAAGAAAAUGUUUUUAUUAUUAUUACGAGAGAUGAGAAGAACUUUGCAGAGAUGGCAGCAAGAGCUGCAUUGAACCCAGCAGAGAUUGCCCAGAUGUAUCCUCUUUUCUUUAGCUGUACAUCACCCAUGGAUCCACCUUCUGAGGUUUUUCACAAUCAACGAUACGAUCAGAAAGAAAAAACUGCACAAACUUCAAUCAAUUUCAGAGUAUUGAAGUGUUUUCAUGAGUCUCUUUGGGUUCUAAUCAUACUUUUGAUUUGUCGCAGUUUCCCCUUUUCGUUUCCCCUUAGGCUACAGAUUGGAUCAAAUCUGAAAUUGGAGAAGAAGAAGCCACGUUAAACACUUUAUUUGGUCAUAUCUGCUUUGAUUGGGCUUACGGCCCAUUACUAUUUCAGAGCCCAUUUAUGAAUCUCAAAGAUCAAGUAAAUGGAAGAAUUAGGCUUGGGCGUUCGGGUACCCGUUGGCGUUCGGAUUAGGUUUUUCGGAUUUUGGUUCUUUUUUAUAACACCUCCUAGGUCCUAUUCUAGUAAAUUUGCAAGUACAGGUCGGGUUCGGAUAUAACACAUCGGCUCGGGUCGGUGUUGCAUCACAUCAUAGAAUCCAUAAAGUAACCAUAUAUCAUUCGGAUUCGGGUUAUAUCAGAUCAAUUCUGAUAUACCCAAAAUAAAAUCUAAAAUUUAAAAGAAAAAUAUAAGAAAUAUAUACUUAUGUAUAUAUAAUUAAGUAUUUAAAGUAGUUAUUUAAAUUUUAAAUACUUAUUAUUAGAUAUCGUAUCAAAAUAAAUAUGAAACUGAAUAUUUGAAGUAUAUAUUCAUGUUUCAUAUAAUUAUAUUGUAUAUUAGAUUGAACAUUCGGAGCGGUUUCUUCGGAUAUCUCUUCGAAUUUUUUGGGUUUUUUAGUUUUUCGGGUUCGGUUAAUAACACUUCGGGUUCGGAUAUGUUUUUACUAUCUUACAAGAUCCAUUCAGGUAUUUUUUACAUUUCGGAACAGGUACGGAUCGGAUUUUUCGGUUCGGGUUCGGAUUUUGGAUUAUGGAUUUUAUGCCUAGGCCUAGAAAGAAUAAUGCAGUCAUUUAAGGAGUGUAACAAUCAAACCAAAAUCGGUUCAAAUGAUGUUUGAGAUCUGAAGUAGCUUUGGAGGGUGACUGGUAAGUGAUGUGGCUUUUAUUUUUUGGAUUUAGAAUAGUUAUUGUAGAUUUCUUUGCUGUAACUAUUUUUUGGUGUAACUUUGUAAAUCACUAUUUUUUUUCUUUAGAAAUAAAGUUUUCUACAACCAUUUUUUUUAUAUUUUUUCAAAGAUAUAUUUGCACUCUAGCUUUUUUUAAAAGAGAGGAAAACAUGAUUAGUUGACAUGUAUGACUUUAAACUAAAUUUUAGUUUUUUAGAUUAUCUACAGCUAUAACCAAUUACCCCCUUAAUGAAGCUAUGUUUAGCUUGCAGCAUGGUUAUAAAUUUAAGCUGUGUAUACAUGAUUUAACUGUUUUUUUAGUUUUGGAUUUUUUUCUAAAUUAACUGUUUAGUUCAUAUUAAUUAAUUAUGAUGCAUAAAAAUAUGAGUGACAUUUCAUUAUAAUUAUUUUAUUAUUAUUAUUUCACAAAAUUAAGGACAAAAUCUUAUGAAAGAUUUUUCAUUAAUAGUGUAGAAGAUAGAUAAAAAUGGUCAAACAAAGAUAAUGAUUUGUUUCUUUUAUAAAAUACCAACGGAAAUGAAUAACAUUAAUAAUAAUAGUAUAAUGUCAUAAAUACAAGGUAAAUAAAAACCAAAAUAGAUUUAAAUAAACAUGAAAGCGUUAAACCAAAUAAAUAAUAUCCUCGCACACAAGAAGUAAAACGUUUGGCUACUUCAUAAACUCAUGAAUAUGGUUUAUUAUUGACUUGCUUUAACAUGUUCAACGAGAGUCUCUGUACCUCCCACAUACUGUACAAAUGCAACUACAUUAGCAUAUUAUACUUUUGUUGUCAAACCAAAUAAACACAUCCAUGAGGAUUGAAAUAUUUAAAUGUACAUUGUGAGAACAAACAUCCACCUCUAAAAUUAUUCACGAACACUUCAAUUUUAUAAUACGUUAUCUUGUGAAAAUAGUCUAUUCAGGUCCAAGCGAUGCUAAACCAUGAUUAGUAAUUCACUUACUAGAUUCAGUAUCAUUUUAAAAACAAAGUAUUUAACCAAUACAUCCUGAGUGAAGCUCUAACCAGAUUGUCACAUCUAUGAUAUGAACAAAGUAUUCGAGGAUUGUUACUACUUUAAGAAUAAAAUGAAAGAACUUGUUAUCUUCAUUCAAACAACAUAAUUACAAAACAAACACACAAAUUUACAUGUUUUCUUUUUGGAACAUCGACUUUACUUUUGUGUUUUAAGUUAAACUAUAUUUACUUUGGUAUAACUAUACGUUAUUUAUUCUAUUUGUAUUGAAUCGAUAAAUGAAACUACUUAUACUAUUAUUCUUUGACCUAAACAAUUUUAAAAUAAAGUAAUACACUACUGUCACUAACCAAUAUCAAAUUGAUCAAAAAUAAUAAUUUUGAACUCAUUAGAGAAUAAAACAUACGAAUCCGACGCAUAGCGUCGGAAUACCACUAAUAGUAUAAUACUUGGACAUGUUAUUUGAAUUACAAGCCUAUGAAGGGCGUGACUGUAUAUAGACGAGUCCAUUUUUAUUGUUCCCAAUUCAAACCAUUUUGUGAUUAAUCCUUCAAGCAUAUAGUCUCGUUUAUUGGACUGAUGCAAUUCCUAGUUAAUGUGUCUUUUCUAGUUUAGUUUGGUACUCAAAUAUUCUUUUAAAAGAAAUCAUUUGCAGUUUUGCACUCAGCCAGAUAACUGAAAUGAAACCCGUUACGUACUUACGUAAUGUAACGGAAAGAACGAACAAACCGUCUUUUCGAAAAAAAAAAUGAAAAACGAACAAAACGAGGCGUAUAUAACGGAACUACAUGCACUUCCAAAUUUAAUAAUUUUUUUAACAAAAAAAAAAGAUUGUUUAUGAGACCUUAUUAUAAUUAUUAAAUUAUAUUUCUGAAGAAAAAAAAAAUCGAUCAUUCUUUUCCAGUACACAUCGAUGGACUCACUUUAAAAACACGACUUGAUAAAUGAUACACUGUACGUUCAAGGUUGUAUUCUUUGUAUAUGUAAUUAAUCAAUCUCAGAUUUCUUAAUCAUGUAAAAUAAGAAGAUACAAGGAAAAGAAAACACAAAAGUUAGAUAUUGAUGAAGCCAAUAACAUUAGACAUUAUGUGGGGGGAAUAAUGAAGAGUAGUUGGUGAAAAGUGAAAACCUUCCUAUGUCUUCCACAUAAUCAUUUCAUCAUUGGAAGCAUAUAUAUUUGUUGGACAAAGCUUUUUAAACGGUGGACAUCCGAAGCGCAAAGGGCAGCCUUUUGCUAGAAUUAUUUGAGCCUACUUUAGCAAUAUAAUAACAAGAACAAAAUGUAUCUUCUGUUCUUGUCAAGGUGUUUUCGAUUCAUGAGAUCUGAACACAUUUAUAUUUUGCUAUGUAAUAUGUAUAUGUAUCUAUCAAAUUUUUUUUUUUAAUGAUUGAUCUUAUAUCUCUAGUCGCGAUGCAGGUUACUAAUUUCCAUUUUUAGUUACAUUUCCUUAAAAGUUUAUUAGAAUUUGAUGUAAGAAAAAAAGUAGGGACACACUUUGCAUUAGAGGUCAAAGAUAAUUGGCUAGGGUCAUAUAUAGCUUAGGUACAUAUAUAUCUUUAAUUUAGUUUAGCUAUUUGCUUAAAGGAGACGAUAGAACUAAUGUUUCGCUUGUCUUCUUUUUUAUAGUCUGCAGCAGUUAGGAAUGUCAAACAGGUUGAUCCGUCCCGUCCUGUCCUGUAUCGCUGCAAGCUCGCCUUCUCGGGAUCAUGGCGGACCAGGCCCACGCGGACUGCAGUUACCAAAACGCCAGCCCGAUCCUGCACCGCAUAAAUGCACAGUACCUUACAGAUCGUCCCGCGGGCUGGACGGAAAAUGAGUGCAUCAGGACACUUCUGUACGCUGCAGGCUGCUCCAGUGCUCCAGGACACUUCAAGCUAAUUCAGUAGUCCAGUACACACCUAAAUGCACAUAAUGAAGAUACAUUCAGGCAUCUACUAUUCAAGCUCAACAAAAUUUGUUAUAUAUUGUUUUUGUUCUUGAAGUUGUUGAAGUCUAUUUUUCUAUCACAAGUGCAUGUAUAAGAUGACAUAAUUAUAUAUAUAUAUAGUCAUAACCAAACUUAAAGUGGAUGUAGAAGAUGUGAUGUUAAGUCUGAAGCACAUUAAGUUAAAAAAAAAAAAACCAAAUCAUAGUACUUAAAAGAAAACCAAACAACUUAAACAAAAAAUCUCAAAUUGUAAAUAAAGCAAAACACCAACUAAAUAUAACAUUUCAAACGUGCUCAUCUUCAUUUAUCCAUCGACAAUAAACUCAAAUGAUGAUAAUUUCUCUUCUUCCCCAUCACCAUCACCAUCACCAUCGAUUUCUUCAUCGGUAAAUAUCAAAAACUUUAUUUACUUAGGACUGAGGAUAUAGUACUCUACAAUAAAUUAUAAUGUGAGUUAUUUACCAUGUGCAUAAGAUUUGUAUCCCUUGAUCCAAUUGCUUGUGCAUAUAAGAGAUUGCACAUAUUUGGGAGUAGACGGCUUCUAUAUUUGUUAAGAAUUCGGGAUCCAAUACUAAAGGAGGACUCCGAAGCCACUGUUGUGAUUGAAAUACUUAACAGAUCACAUGUCAUUGUAGUCAAGUCACCAUACUGAUGAGCAUUAUCUUUCCAACAAUCAAGUAUGUCCAAGCUCUGGAAAUUAGUAAUAUCCAAAGGUGGUUCUUCAAGAUAAG
rnacentral:lncRNA from 1 species